UGUAACGCCCAUGCUGCAAUAUCAGAAGCUAUCCAGAUCGGAUCUACAAGCAAGAUUCUUUCGCCGUUACUUCUAAAAACCAAUGCGACAACUCCAAGUGACCAGCAAGAACCUGAGUCGCCUUCGUUUGUGAAGAUCACUCCCGACAUGAUAUA